GUGGGAGAUAAUUUUUUUUUUUUGGCAACUAUUGAUUUUCUUAAGACCUAAAAAUAAAGUAAUGUGAUAUUAUAAAUUUUUUAUCAAAAAGUGAAACAAGCGUUUUGUGUGCUAUUGGAGUUCAAUUCCCCAAUGCGAUGUAGCAUAAGAGGUUAUCGAUCCAAAUGGAUGUAUUGUAAACAAUCAAGAUAUAGCAGAACUAAUCAAGUCAAGCCAAGCAGUUGAAAGUUUGGUUUAAAG
rnacentral:lncRNA from 1 species